rnacentral:rRNA from 1 species
AGUGAACGCUGGCGGUAGGCCUAACACAUGCAAGUCGAACGGCAGCACAGUAAGAGCUUGCUCUUACGGGUGGCGAGUGGCGGACGGGUGAGGAAUACAUCGGAAUCUACUUUUUCGUGGGGGAUAACGUAGGGAAACUUACGCUAAUACCGCAUACGACCUACGGGUGAAAGCAGGGGAUCUUCGGACCUUGCGCGAUUGAAUGAGCCGAUGUCGGAUUAGCUAGUUGGCGGGGGAAAGGCCCACCAAGGCGACGAUCCGUAGCUGGUCUGAGAGGAUGGUCAGCCACACUGGAACUGAGACACGGUCCAGACUCCUACGGGAAGCAGCAGUGGGGAAUAUUGGACAAUGGGCGCAAGCCUGAUCCAGCCAUACCGCGUGGGUGAAGAAGGCCUUCGGGUUGUAAAGCCCUUUUGUUGGGAAAGAAAAGCAGCAGGUUAAUACCCCGCUGUUCUGACGGUACCCAAAGAAUAAGCACCGGCUAACUUCGUG